rfam:Lactobacillus mellifer strain Bin4 plasmid pBin4p1 unlocalized plasmid scaffold Bin4_scaffold10, whole genome shotgun sequence.
CUAUUUUUGUUAUAAUAAUGGUGCAUUGAGUGAUAGUGGCUUACUUUUCUAGAAAGUAGGUGGUGCUUAUGUAUGAUAAAUAACAUAAACAACAAAACCUAUAGAAGGGAAGUAAAAAGUGUCUGUAAAAGACGCUUUAACAUUAAUGCUAAUGUUCGGCGAUUUAAUUAUUGCCCUCAUAGCAUUAAUAUUGA